rnacentral:lncRNA from 1 species
AUUUGUUUUAACACACAUAAAUACCCAAAUGACACUACCAAUAUCAUUGCUAAAAAUAAAACUACUGAAUGCAGUUUAAGAUUUAUUUGUGGUUGUUUGGUCUGUAGGAUAUAUUCCAUUAGCAAAGUACAGACAAAAUACUAAGUUUUCAAGUCACUUGAAGUAAGUCUUCUGUGGGGUUAUAUCACCAACUUGACAGACUGUUAAGUUUGUUUUAGUUUUAAGAGUUGCCUUUUCAAAAAAUGUUUAUUAUAUAAAACAUUGACAGGGCCUCAAAAUAAAAGGUAUGUAAGAUACAGAAAUAGUUGCCAUCCUUGUCUAGCUCCCUACCACCACUAACAAGGAGAUCAUUUUAUUAGUUAUUGGUAUAACUAAUUCUUCUAUUGCUUUACAAAAAAAGCAAAUACAUAUUUUUUCCAUUUGUCUCUUCGUUAUACAACAGACAGCACACCAUACAUUCUCUUCUGUGCUUUACAUUUUUCAUUUCCUAUAUUCUGGAGAUUUCUCCAGACCAGAACUACAAAAAUAGUUCGCAGUCCUUUCUACAGCUGUGUAGUAUCCCAUUGUAUAGAUAUACCCUAGUUCCUUCCAUCAAUUCCCUAUCAAUGGAGAUUUGGCUGGCUUCCAGUCUGUAGCUAUUAGAAACAGUGCUGUAAUCAAGAUCUUUGUGCAUAUACUAUUUCAUAUUCUUGCAAGUGCAUCUCAUAUGGAUUCUUAGAACUGGGUCUGCCAGGUUGAAGGAUAUACUCAUUUAACUUUGCUAGUUAACAAAUACCAUCCACAGGGAUUUGUAAUUUUUGGAGUGCCUGUUUCCCUAUUGUCUCAACAGAGUGGAACCCAGGCCAGGUACUUAAUUUUUUUUUUUUUUUUUUUUUGGUAGAGCCAGUCCUACUAGGUUGCCCAGGUUGGUUUUGAAUUCCUGGUCUCAAGCAGUCCUUCUGCCUCAGCCUCCCAAAAUGCUGGGAUUACAGCCAUGAGCCAUUCCAUCUGGCUGAAAAUUCUUCUAUAGACUUCUCUUUUUAUUGCUUCUGAAUUUUCAGUCCUAGGAAAGUUUUUCUCACUGUCAGAUUAUACAAUAAUUCAUCUAUGUUUUCUUCUAGUUAGAAAGAGGGUUUCAUUUUAAAAAUUGGGUCUUUGUUCUAUUCAGAUUUUAUCCUGUGUAUCCUGUGAGAAAUCGAUUCAAUUUUAUUUUUUUUUCCAAAUGGUUAACCACACUUCUCUCAACACCAUUUUUAAAGCCUUUUUCUCUGAAUGAGAUGCUUUAUCAUGUACUAAAUUCCUAGACUUUCUCAUAUUGUAAACAUUAUGUUAUAAUAUUUAAUAGGGUUAUCCCUCCUUCCACAUUGUUCUUUUCUAGGCAUCUUCUGGCUAUUUUUGUUUAUUCUUUCCAGUACUUCUUGUUUUAUUGAAAUCGCGUAUGGCCCUUUAAGUAUAAAUAUAUAUUACAUAUAUGAAUGAAGACAUUUCAAAAGUGUUCUGCAAAUCAUAUUCUAAAACCAACCUUAGGCAAGGCUUUUUUUUUUUUGGAAAAUCAGAAGAAAAAAGAAGAAAACAGAAGUCAUCUUAAGGGAAUGCAUGGACCCAGGUAAAGCCAUGUAUGGCGGCCACAACACCCAGAGUAGCCUUCCCUAAGAACAACAGCAGCAUUUACUGAACAUUUGCUGGAUCCACAGUCCUGUAGUUAACUAUUAUACAGAGACUGGUCCAUACAAAAGACUCAAGAAACUAUACAGCUGUCUUGUUGUGACUAUCACAGGAAAAUUUAUUCUGUAAAAUAAAAGUAUGCUGUGCAUAACAAAGAUCAAAUGCUGUACUAGAUUUUUAAGAAAACAUUUAGCACCCACUAUAUUUUUUUAAAUGUGAGGAUUGUGAACUUCCCUUCCAGCUCAAUCUUCACAAAAUUACAUAUACUAUACCUCAGGGUAAAAUCUAACUUUAAAAAGAGUUACAACAUCUUUCAAAUAAAGCAAAUUCAGUCUGUAGGAAAAUAAAUUAUCACUUGAUAUUGGGGUAUAUCUUUCUUCAAUCACUUGGCACAUCUGCGGCCAGAAACUCCAUUCACUAAGUAAACGAAGGAACUUCUUCCUUCCAAGGGCUGGGACCAAAUUUCCUGUGCAAAAACCUUCCUGUAUAAGUGAAACCUGUCAUUCUCCCAGCAAAGGAUAAUUGAGAUUAGAGAGUGUGUAAAACAAAAAUACAAAAAUAUUACCCAAAUUAUUUGUACCACAUACAGGUUUGAAACCUGGCCAUCCAAAAUACUAACUAAAAAGACUAUUAUUGUUCUUAAGGUAGAGAAAUCAGACAACACAUCUUGGCGCUCAUGUUGCUUCCUGCACUAACCUAGUUAAUCUGACAAGUGAGACAAAUUGUUCAUUGGGAAGAUGUUUAUAUCAUGCUUCAGUAUAAUUUGUCUAUUCUUUUAUAGGGGAGAAAUGUUGAAAAUAGAACAUUCAGUCUUUCUGGCAGUUAAUCAACAGUGACACAACCUUACAUUUCCUAACAACUACAAAUUCCCUAAUUAACCAUUUUAAAAAUGCAAUAACAAAACCAUUAAACCACUAUUUGCUCUAGUUCACUGUUUUUAUUUACAUAGCUACCUUUCUCCUAGACAAGCAACGUUAGCGAAAGAUGCCUUCUUGAUGACAAUCCUAUUCAAUUUUUAUUUAUUUUUUUGGUGAAGGGUUUUCUCAGCAGCCAGUUACCACAUGGAGCAUUUCACAGUUUCAAAGAAGUUUUCCUCAUUUUAAAACUGCAAGAAAAUGCUACACUUGAUGGUAGUUCCUAAAAAAAUAGUUCAAUCAACCUUCUAGAAUUUUUGUAAUAUAACUUCAAGUAUGUAAUGAUUUAAUUAACACAAUACUCUUAAUAAACAACAGCAACAACAAACCCAAGUGCUAGCUCAUUUCUGGUGCCAUGAGACAUAAUAGCACCACUUGUUUUUCUAUUUUAGUGGUUAAAAUGUAUGCAAUUUUAGCACCCAUCUACAAAAGUUAGAUGUUAAUAAAAAUAUGGUAUUACUUGGCUUACUAGGAAGUAACAGUCUUAAUAUCCCCUUAAGAGAAGAAAUCUGUUUCAUUUGCUGCAUCCUGGGUCAUGGAAAAGAAUAGUAUGAAAGGGGGAAACAAAGAACAGCCUUUUAGGUAAGGCUUUUCAGUACCUGAAUCACUGAAAGUAUUGAAGUCAUGUUCCUUGGAAGAGUAGAAUUAUACCACACAUAGGAGGUUCCAAGGAGUUAUGUUGUUAUACACUGUAUGUCAGGAUAGACCACAUUUAAAAUGCUGAACAUGGCUUAGCAGCCUUAAAUAUAAAAAACAGGUAAACUAGAAAAAGUAAUGAUAGUGAUCAACUCCCGUCCUCUAACCAAAAAUUGAAUUUAGAUUAAUAUCAGUUAUCAAGACACAAUAAAUA